GCGAGACAGGGUUUCUCUGUAUAGCCCUGCCUAGAUCCAGUGACCCAGAGACCCGCAUCCCAGGGUCAGCCUGGUCUACAGAGUGAGUUCCAGGACAUCCAGGGUUACAUAGAGAAACUCUGUGGGAAGGUUUUAGCUGGAGCCCUUUUUGCCUGUGAGAAAGGUUCUCAAUCUCUGCUGGCUUGGAGUUCGGGUUCCUUCUGCCUCAGCCUCUCAGUUCUGGCAUUGCAGGUAUAAACCACAUCUCCCAGCUCUAGUUGCAGCUGGUUUUGUUUUUGUAAAAGCAAACUUUUCUAAAUCGCUGCAUACACAAGACCAGCUAAUAAAGCAUGGGACAAAAUGGCCUUCUAGCUACACUAACACAAGCAUGAUGUGUUUGUUCUAAGUGGGAUGUGGUGGACCUCUAACAGUGGCUACUCCACAAUGUUAUUUUGGAAGGCAGAGCUGUGAAAAUGUAUACGUCUGUUCCAGAUAGCUUUCCUUUAUCCUCAGAACCCAUGAAAAUGAUUAAAAAUACCAAUUUUGAAUUGUUAUACAAGAAGGUAUAGUUGAGCUGAAAAUAAUCUGUACGGGUCUCACCUAGUUAUAUGAGCACCUUUAAAACCUGGACUUUUCUAUGUCUUGUGGAAGAAAAGGAAUUUGGAAACAUUCUGGUGAAGGCGAGGUGUCUCAUUGAUGGUUCUGAAGAUGAAGGAGGCCAAACGCCAAGGACCGUGACAGCCCAUAAAGAAAUAGAGCACCAGUCCUGUCACCAGAAAGAGUGAAUCUGGACACAAACCUGAGGGAGCUUAGAAACUGGUCCUUUUCUGUAGCAUACAAACUGAAGUCCAGACUUGUUUAACCAGGCUGAGAGAACCAUCUAAUUCUUUUGUGGUAGUCACUUUUUGUCAUGGUGACAAACUCCUGAGCAAACCAAUCUUGAAGGAGGAGAACUUUAACUUAGGCUCAUAGUCCAUGCUCCAUCCAUUGCUUUGAGCCUUAGGUGAGACAGAAAAUGAUGGUGGCUGGUGCAUGUGGAAGAGAAGGGUGCUCACCUUAGGAAGGAGGAAAAGAGGGAGGGAAGGUAGACAGAGGUGGGAAGGGAGAGAGAGAGAAUGAGAAAGAGAAAGGUAGAUAGAGACAGAGACCAACAGAGAGACAGACAGAUUGUUAUAGAAAGGAAAAUCUCUUUUUACGAGUGCAUUUUUCAGUCUUUCUCAGUCCAGUUGGGUCAUUACCAUGAAAAUACUCAAGGACUGACUUCUAGGUGUGAGGUGAUGUUACUGUAAUUGAGUUAUACUAACCAGUACCACCCCUGGCACUGUCCAUUAAGGCAGCUUCUUCUGAGUCACAUAGGGGAGAAUCACAUGUCUGAGGGCAACAUCAGUGGCCCUAGUAAGGAAAAAGGAGGGUUCAGACACUGGAAAGAGAGCCUCUAGCCUAUACAUCCAGGAGAGGUUGGGCUCUCCCUUCCCUAUCUUUCCUACCUGCCCUAAUGUGCAUUCCCCACCCUCCAAAUAGCUAAGACUAUGUUAUUUUUACUCUCAGAGUAAAGGAGAGUGAAAGGAAACCUAAGAAUCCAGGAAUGGCUCUGGAAGUGGUACUGUCUUAAGUCCAUGGAGUAAAACAAUACAAUACAAUACAAUACAAUACAAUACAAUACAAUACAAUACAAUACAAUACAAUACAAUACAAUAAAAAGAAUAAGAGAAAAUGCUUUCUAGAUUUUUAAAGAGUAAAGCAAAAGAUUGAUUAUCCAUGGUAACAAAUGAUCCGGUAGACCCUCAGGAGGAAGGGAAUGUCAGAAGUAGAACUGGCCAUCCCUUGUUCUCAGCCAACAAGCCAGAUGGCCUCCUUGAACCAGCCUGGGCAUGUGACCUACGCCAUCAUUCACUCGAAAGGACCUCAUGCAGGGUUAAUGUUUUUGCUGCUGUUUGAAGUCUUUUGGCACUGCACUCUGCAUAUUAAAUUGCUGGUGCUCAAUUUCUCUGUGAAGAUAUUUUAUAAAUCCUUUAAAAUAUUUUAAAAUUUAUUCUUUGAAGAUUUUUAUGCAUGUAUAUAAUAUAAUUUGAUUACGUUUGCCCCCAUUUAUUUUCUCAUUUCCUCUGAACCCCUUCUUCUCAAGAAGUUACUCUCUUGCGUUCGUGUCUCCUUUUCAAAUGAACCAUUGGGUUUAAUUAGUGUUGCUUUCAUGGGCAUGACUAUGAAGAAACUUAACAGUGGCUACAUCACUAAAGAAAAAUGGCUCUUUUUUUCCUGUUGUAAAACCUCUACUCUUACCAUUAUAAAUACCCCAACUAGCAUGUCAAAAAUCUUCAUCUACCAGGUUUAUCUAUCUAUCUAUCUAUCUAUCUAUCUAUCUAUCUAUCUAUCUAUCUAUCUAUCUAUCUCUCUCUCUCUCUCUCUCUCUCUAUAUAUAUAUAUAUAUAUAUAUAUAUGUAUAUAAAUAAUAUAUCACUAUUAGUUUUUCUAAUGAACAUAAAUAGAUAAAGUCUUUUUGUUAGUUUUGUUUUGUUUUUAGUAGAGCUUAAAAUCUUGGCUCUUACUGUGGUACAAACACAAAAUAAGAACAGUUUUUUGACAUUGGAUUUCAUUGUAAUAAGGCUGUACUUGAAUGUCCCUCACAUCACCAAAGGAUUUUACCUUUAUAGUAGAUAAGCUAAGAGUUGACAGUUCUGCUGCACCAAGGAAUAAAUUGUAGGCACGAUUUUUGGAAAAAGAUUUCCUGCUACAGUCAAAGCUAUUUGACUUGAGUGAUUGUCAUCAUUCUCAACCUGCAGAGAACAGGUUACACUCAUUUAAGAAAUGGUAUAUGUAUUAAGGUGAUCUAUCCAUGAAGUCAUUCAUCAACUGUUUCAAUGAACAAUAGUUCUGCUUGGAGGGUGGCACAGACAUUAGGUGAGGGUAAGAUUCUGGUUCAUUGGCUAUGGUGAUUUUGAAAAGCAUUCAACUCAGAAUAAGGGUAACUUAUAAAGUCCUCUUCUUCAAAAUUGAUACAAUAAUUAUAAAUAUCAAGCAAAGCCUUCAGUCUCACUCUUUGCUGCUCUCUUACAAGCCACCUCCAAAAUUAAUUGUCUACAUUUCUUUUGGCCAUAUAAAUAAUUUUGAAAUAUAUAAGCUGUUCUGAAAACCAUAGUAUAGUGUAAAAACAUCAAGUAAACAAUCCUACUAAUAGGCUGAGAUAGGAGAAGCAUGAUUUCAAGACCAUUAUGUGGCUCACAGCAAGACCCUGUAAUGUACAAAUAAGCAGAAAGUGUAUAUGAAUCCAUAUACAAUAUUGGACCUAUUUCUCCCAUUACCAAAUUAGAGAGACCACAGGAUGACAGCUGGCAAAUUUCUAAUUCCUCAUAAUUUUAAAUUUCAAUCAAUUAAGAUAUGUUGGUAGUAUUAAUUUUCAUAUUAAGAUAUACUAAGGAAAAGUGAUUGUUACUUCCUGUUAAUUUUCUUGUUAGAUGUGGAAUUAUGUUUGGGUGGAUUUGUUGAAAGAUUACUUUCUUGCUUCUUCUAGGGUGUAGUUUCACUCCUUUGUUGGUGUUUUCCAUCUAUUAUCCUUGGUAGGGCUGGAUUUGUAGAAAGAUACUGUGUAAAUGUGGUUUUGUUGCGGAAUAUCUUGUUUUCUCUGUCUAUGGUGAUUGAGAGUUUUGCUGGGUAUAGUAGCCUGGGCUGGCAUCUGUGUUCUCUUAGGGUCUGUAUGACAUCUUCCCAGGAUCUUCUAGCUUUCAUAGUUUCUGGUGAGAAGUCUGCUGUAAUUCUGAUAGGUGUGCCUUUAUAUGUUACUUGACCUUUUUCUCUUACUGCUUUUAAAAUUCUUUUUUUGUUUAGUGCAUCUGGUGUUUUGUUUAUUAUGUGAUUAUUAUUGGGAAUCUUCACUCUCUUCUAUACAUAUUAUCCUUAGGUUUGGUUUUCUCAUUGUGUCCUGGAUUUCCUGCAUGUUUUGGAUUAGGAGCUUUUUGCUUUUUGCAUUUUCUCUGACUGCUGUGUCAAUGUUUUCUAUGGUAUCUUCUGCACCCGAGAUUCUCUCUUCUAUCUCUUGCAUUCUGUUGGUGAUGCGAUGCUUGUAUCUAUGAUUCCUGAUCUCUUUCCUAGAUUUUCUAACUCCAAGGUUGUCUCCCUGUGUGAUUUCUUUUUUUUUUUUUUUUUUUCACUGUAUAGUCCUGGCUGUCCUGGAACUCACUUUGUAGACCAGGCUGGCCUCGAACUCAGAAAUCCGCCUGCCUCUGCCUCCCAAGUGCUGGGAUUAAAGGCGUGUGCCACCACACCCGGCCCCUGUGUUAUUUAUUUAUUGUUUCUAGUUCCAUUUUUAGAUCCUGGAUGGUUUCAUUCCUUUCCUUGGCCUGUUUGAUUUUGUUUUCCUGUAACUCUUUAAGGGAUUUUUGUGUUUCCUCUUUAAAGGCUUCUAGCUGUUUACCUGUGUUCUCCUGUAUUUCUUUAAGGGGGUUAUUUAUGUCCUUCAUAAUGUCCUCUAUCAUCAUCAUGAGAAGUUAUUUUAGAUCUUAAUCUUGCUUUUCCAGUGUGUUGGGGUAUCCAGGACUUGCUAUGGUGGGAGAGUUGGGUUCUGAUGAUGCCAAGUAACCUUGAUUUGUUGCUUAUGUCCUUAUGCUUGCCUCCCACCAUCUGGUUAUCUCUAGUGCUACCUGCCCUGGCUAUGUCUGACUGGAGCCUGUCCUUCCUGUGAUCCUGGUUGUGUCAGAACUCCUCCUAGUCAAGCUGUCUCUGGGAUCCUGUGACUCUGGGAUCCUGUAAUCCUGAGAUCCUGGGUGUGUCCAAGCUCCUGGGAGUCAAGCUGUCUUUGGGACCUUGAGAUCCUGGUGUGACCAAGUUCCUGGGAUCCUGGGCGUGUUAGAGCACCUGGGAGUGGACCUGCCUCUGGGUGUUGUUGGGGCUGGCUGUGGAGUUUGCGCCCAAGGUCCUACCAGGUUUCAUGAUUAAGUUUGCAAAUCCAAGAAGGUAUAGGGCUGUAGUUACAGUUUAGAAAGGCUCCUUGGUGACAUUGUGGAGAAUAGAUUGAGAGAUGUAAUCUUAAAAGCCAAGAAGCCACAUCCUCUGAGCCCAGGCUUGAGCCAAGGUGAAGGGAAGAAUCAGAUGCACAUUCCUCAUAGGUCGUACGGUGGGAGGGGGUGGGACCAGACAAAAGCUUGACAUUCCAUGUGUAGAGUUUAGGUUUUUCCAAGAGAAUCCAGGAAAGGCAUAGAUGCUUAUGGAUUUUUUCCAGAAACUGAGUCUGGUAAGGACUUAUCAUGGUUUCUUUAUCAUGGAGUUUUCCUGGGAGCACUUUGGGAGUUUCUUGGGAGAGCAGGGAAAGGCUGAGUAGAGAGGAAGGUUGGUAGGAAUGUUGGUGCAAUAACAUCUCUGGUGGAUGAUUCUUCAGAGCUGGUAAAUGGUAAGCUAAAUGUCUGAGCCCUUGUGUUCCUGACGCACCAUCAUCAAUUGUUGGUGAUUGGAUCAUCUGGGGAAUGGUGUGAGCUGAUGGUGUGAGAGACGGGCUGCUCUGUACUUGAGGCAAUUCUUAUAAAGGAAUUGACAGAUGAAAAUGUCUGCUGACCACUCCCCUGACCACUGGAACAAGAAGUACUUUCUGGAAGGAGACUCUGGAUGGCUCAUGUCAAAGUCUAACAUAUGUGAUGUAUAUUGUGGUGGGAAACACAUGAAUGAAGUUUCCUGACAUAAGGAUAAAGAUUUAUUUACUUUAAUAUGCCCUUGAUUACACAACAAACUGGCUUUUCUUUUCAACUUUUUGUUUUAUAUUGUUUUGUUUUAAAGACAGGAUAUUAAGGGGCUGGUGAGAUGGCUCAGCGGUUAAGAGCACUGGCUGCUCUUCCAGAGGUCCUGAGUUCAAUUUCCAAAAACCAUGUGGUGGUUCAAGACCAUCUAUAAAGGGGUCUGAAGCCCUCUUCUGGCAUUUAAGUGUACAUGCAGGUGGAACACUCAUACAUAAAAUUAAAAAAAAUUUUUUUAAGAUAGGAUAUUAAACUGAAGCUCAGGUUACUCUUUAUGUAGCCUAGACUUGCUUCUUUAAAAAUUUUUUUAAAAAAUCUUUAAGGAAUUUAUAUGGUGUAUUUUGAUCAUAUUUACCCAUACUCCUCUCCAUAGCCCCUUGUAGAUCCACUCUUACCUCUCUACCCCUCACUGAGCUUCAUACCUUAACAUACACACACACACACACACACACACACACACACACACACACACACACACACCCCUUGACUCCAGUUUGUGCUGCCCUUAUAUUCCUAGGUGUGCAGCCAUCAACUGGACUGUGGUUGACAUACCAGGAGCUAUAUCUGUAAAGAGAACUGACUCAUUCUCUAGAAGCCACCAAGUGUCCAUAGCCCCUCAGUUAAUGGCAAGGUUGAGCUUAUUUCUAAGUAAAAGCAUUUUUGUUUCAUCCUCCUGAAUGCUGGGGUUACAUUCACCAACCACUGUGCUGGAUGGUGUCAUUGACUUCUUAAUUAACAAAAUCCCCUGUAUUGUAAGUGUUGUCUAUCACAGAUAACAAGUAAUGUAGAAGUAGAAGGGUCUGGGUUGGCUCAUUUCGUGGCCUGGUUGGCUGCCAUCAUUGUCUGAAGAGGAUUUGCUCAUUAAGUCUUCCAGAGUUAGUAUUUUGGCUUUUGUCUUACUGUACCAUUACAAUAUUAAAAUUGCUGCCUUGAUUCUGCAUAGGAAAUUAACUAUAAUAUAAAGGAAGAUAUCACCUUGGAUAUACUCUUGGAUAUAAAUAUGUGGUUUUCCUCUUGGAUAUAAAUAUGUGGUUUUCCUCUCAUGAGACAGUUUUCCAAUGCUUCAGACAGUUGUGUGUCCUACAUCUCAAGAAUGAUGCUGGUUUCCAGGAGUUUAUACAUAUCUCACAGGUUAAAAACUCAGUCCCAUAUGACCAUUUCCUCCAGAGACACCAAUUGCAAGUAAUAUGUCUCCAGCGUACCUGUUUUUUUAUUUGAUUUAGUUGGGACUUGAAAGUACCUCUUAGUGCUUGGCACUUUGCUAUAAC
rnacentral:lncRNA from 1 species